AAGGAAUCCGAUCAAAAAGAGUUGCCAUGAGAUCCUGAUGACCAAUAACUGGGCAAUUUCCUAUUCUCUCAAAUCUGCGGACUCUGUCUUGAAUCACUACUUGCUCUCGAGAAAGUUCAGGGCUUCUGUGAUAGAGAAUAAGGAGAGAAAUGGGAGCGAAAGAAGAGAAAAAACAGAAACACCUCUCUGAAUGUGAAACACAGAUGUUUUAUUUUCGUGAAGUUGAAGAGAAAAGUGAAGCUGAGGAGAAAAUUGCACAAAACACAGCUGCAUUGUGCAAGAAAAAGUG
rnacentral:lncRNA from 1 species